GCUGGAUUCGCUAGUAAUCGCGCAUCAGCCAUGGCGCGGUGAAUACGUUCCCGGGCCUUGUACACACCGCCCGUCAAGCCAUGAAAGCCGGGGGUACCUGAAGUACGUAACCGCAAGGAGCGUCCUAGGGUAAAACUGGUAAUUGGGACUAAGUCGUAACAAGGUAGC
rnacentral:rRNA from 1 species